UACGAAGGGGGCUAGCGUUGCUCGGAAUCACUGGGCGUAAAGCGCACGUAGGCGGCUUUCUAAGUCAGGUGUGAAAUCCUGGAGCUCAACUCCAGAACUGCCUUUGAUACUGGCGACCUUGAGUCCGGGAGAGGUGAGUGGAACUGCGAGUGUAGAGGUGAAAUUCGUAGAUAUUCGCAAGAACACCAGUGGCGAAGGCGGCUCACUGGCCCGGUACUGACGCUGAGGUGCGAAAGCGUGGGGAGCAAACAGG
rnacentral:rRNA from 1 species